rnacentral:rRNA from 1 species
GAUUCAGCGGGUUACGAUUGACGGAGCGAAGCGACGUCAAAGCGUAUACAAAGUCGAGUCGGUUUAAGGAUACGUUCGUUGGGUAGGGGAGCGUUCUGUAAGCCUGCGAAGGUGGCCUGUGAGGGUUGCUGGAGGUAUCAGAAGUGCGAAUGCUGACAUAAGUAACGAUAAAGCGGGUGAAAAGCCCGCUCGCCGGAAGACCAAGGGUUCCUGUCCAACGUUAAUCGGGGCAGGGUGAGUCGACCCCUAAGGCGAGGCCGAAAGGCGUAGUCGAUGGGAAACGGGUUAAUAUUCCCGUACUUGGUGUUACUGCGAAGGGGGGACGGAGAAGGCUAUGUUGGCCGGGCGACGGUUGUCCCGGUUUAAGCGUGUAGGUGUGUGUUCCAGGUAAAUCCGGUU